GACGAACGCUGGCGGCGUGCCUAAUACAUGCAAGUAGAACGCUGAAGGAGGAGCUUGCUCUUCUGGAUGAGUUGCGAACGGGUGAGUAACGCGUAGGUAACCUGCCUGGUAGCGGGGGAUAACUAUUGGAAACGAUAGCUAAUACCGCAUAACAUUGACUAUUGCAUGAUAGUCAAUUGAAAGGUGCAAAUGCACCACUACCAGAUGGACCUGCGUUGUAUUAGCUAGUUGGUGGGGUAACGGCUCACCAAGGCGACGAUACAUAGCCGACCUGAGAGGGUGAUCGGCCACACUGGGACUGAGACACGGCCCAGACUCCUACGGGAGGCAGCAGUAGGGAGUCUUCGGCAAUGGACGGAAGUCUGACCGAGCAACGCCGCGUGAGUGAAGAAGGUUUUCGGAUCGUAAAGCUCUGUUGUAAGAGAAGAACGAGUGUGAGAGUGGAAAGUUCACACUGUGACG
rnacentral:rRNA from 1 species